rnacentral:lncRNA from 1 species
UUCUGAUAUCACCCAAAAGAUCAAGCACUGAAAGUAUAAAAGAAAGGAGACUAAGAUGAUUAAGAAAUACUUGCUGUCCUUUUCCCAUACCACUGAAGGCAUACACACAUAUGGACAAAUAUCACAUUAAAGAACAAAUUAGUAAAUUAUACUAUGGCCGAGUGUGACAGCUCAUGCCUAUAAUCCCAGUACUUUGGGAGGCUGAGGCAGGCGGAUCACUUGAGGUCAAGAGUUUGAGACCAGCCUUGCCAACAUGGUGAAACUCCGUCUCUACUAAAAGUACAAAAAUCAGCCGGACAUGUUGCCACAUGCUUAUAGUCCAAGCUACUUGGGAGGUUGAGCCAGGAGAAUCGCUUAAACUCGGGAGGUGGAGGUUGCAGUGAGCCGAGGUCUUGCCACUGCACUCCAGAAUGGGUGACAGAGCGAGACUCCAUCUCAAUAAUAAUAAUAAUAAUAAUAAUAAUAAUAAUAAUAGGAAGAAGAAGAAGAAGAAGAAGAAGAAGAAGAAGAAGAUACAAAAGCAUCUGUGCUCUUCAUAUUAUACAGUGUGUGCCCAAUGGGAAGGAUGGAGGGAAACAGGGGAGAGGAUUCUGCUGCCUUCUCAACUCAGUUCUACUCACCUUGCAGUUAGCAGAGAGAUUGCCAGUGUUACCUUUUGGUAAGGGUGAUCUUGCUCAACCUCAGCUUAAAGAGGACUUUGUAGGGGCAGUGACAUCUGGUCUGGGCUGAAUCUCACAGGAUGAGGCAGAGAUUGGCAAAUGCACUCUAGACAGAGACAGCACAUGUGUUGUGGCUACAACAACAUGGCACAUUUGAGAAAAACCACAGGACAAGGCCUACCUUCCGAAGAAAUUAUUCUCCCUUCUUCACACUGCCACAAACCCAGUCUCUUUGCCCAUCCUUUGCAUUAUGCCAAAAAUUAUACACGUAGGUGCUCAGUAAAUACUGGAUGACAUACGAAUGAAUGAUUCAUGACAUCCCUCAGUUAAAGCAAUUUGCUUCUCCUAGAAUAUCCUUUUUCUCUCUCUCAAUCUGAAUUCCAUCAAGUCCUGGCUGGAGACCCACCUUCUGAAAGCUAUUAUUAUCCAAGAGCAACACAAAUGACCUGCACUUAUUCUGAAUUUCAUCUUUCAAUGUUCUAAACUUAAUAUUUUCUGUCCAAUCUUGUCUUCCUAAUUAAACAUAAUGUCCUCAAAGGCAGGGAUUGAUCUCCUCCUUCUCCUCCUCUUUCACUUUUUAUAAUUUUUUUUUUGUUUUGGUAAACUCAAAUAUGCCAAAUCCAAAUAUACCAUCUUAGAGAGUAAAAGUUUAAUUUCUAUGAAAGGAAGGGAAGAAGAAAGGCAGGGAGGGGGAGAGGGAGUUUGCCUUGCUUGCUCUUGAGCUCCUUCCUCCUUCAGAACACCACAUUCAGCCACUAGGCCACAGCAGCCUUUGCUGACCUCCUAGUCUGUUUUUCUUUCUCACGAAUCUAGUUGCCUCCCUCUCCCCCUCCCUCCCUUCUUCCCUUCAUUCAUUUUAGUCUUAAUAUAAAAACUUAAUAUGUAAAAUCCCCCCACCCCAUUUUUAUAAUCUUUUUAAAAUUUAAAAUUUCCUGAAAAGAAUUUGAAUGAAUGAAUAAACAAGAUUCUACUCAAAGGCUUCAAAUCUUCAGCAAAAGAUAGUAUACCAGUGCUUCAUACUUUGUAACCAAAGGCAUUAAUUUGCAACCCUUUCUUUUCUUAAACAAGUAAGAUACUGUGAUUCCUUUUGAUGCAAUGUAGCAAACCAGACACAAAUAGCAACAACAACUUUUCAGACACAAAGAGACAUCACUGUUAUUUCUACCUUAAUGCAGAUGGGCCUGGACUUAUGAAAGGGCUACUUCCUGAUAAACCCAUCCGAAGUUGAAAAUGUUGUAAACUGAAAGUGCAUUCAAUACCAGAUAAACCCAUCACAAACUCAAAACAUUUUAAGUUGACCUAUUGUAAAUCAGAGAGCAUCUGUUUUUCUGUAUCCUUAUGAGCCCUCAAAUCCAUUUUCUUUAAAUGUCCAUCCCCAUCCUGUGGGCCAGUCUGCCAUAUCUUGCAAACACUUCCAGUUGGGCUUCCUUCAUCUACUCUUACCCUUCUCAGUACUUUCCUAUAAAGACAGCCAGGAAGAGCCAAUCUGCUCAUGGCAUUUCCUCCUCAAAAAUCUCUUGGUGGCUUCCUUACUUAUAGGGUAAGGACCAAAAUCCUUAAUAGCACCUACAGGGCUUGGCAUGUUCUGGUUCACCUCAUCACUUUCGUUUCACACCAAAUUCUCUCAUUCUCUGGGCUCUGGCCAAGUGGCCCUGCCUUCAGUUGUUCACCUUAUUUCCUCUAGCUAGCUACAGGGUCUCUAUUCAUGCUCUUUGUUCCUCAGCUCAAAAGCUAUUUGUUUCCUGGGGAAGCCAUCUUUGAUCCAUACAACAUUGCACACACACUCAGCACAACAUGCUUUUUCUUCACAGCACUUACUACUUUGCAACUAUGCAAAGUAUUUGUUGUAUAAAAUAUGUAUUUGUUCAUAUAAUUACCCAUGUAAUGUCUGCCUUCCCAACCAGUCUAAA